rnacentral:rRNA from 1 species
CUUGGUCAUUUAGAGGAAGUAAAAGUCGUAACAAGGUUUCCGUAGGUGAACCUGCGGAAGGAUCAUUAUCGUGGGGCUUCGGCCCUCUCGAGAUAGAACCCUUGCCUUUUUGAGUACCUUCGUUUCCUCGGCAGGCUCGCCUGCCAAUGGGGACCCCAAUAAACCCUUUGUAAUACCUGUAAUCGUCUGACAAAACAAACAAAAAUUAAAACUUUCAACAACGGAUCUCUUGGUUCUGGCAUCGAUGAAGAACGCAGCGAAAUGCGAUAAGUAGUGUGAAUUGCAGAAUUCAGUGAAUCAUCGAAUCUUUGAACGCACAUUGCGCCCUAUGGUAUUCCGUAGGGCAUGCCUGUUCGAGCGUCAUUCAAACCUCCAAGCUCUGCUUGGUGUUGGGCGUCUGUCCUGCCUCACGGCGCGGACUCGCCUCAAAUCUAUUGGCGGCCGGCACGUUGGCUUCGAGCGCAGCAGAAACGCGAACUCGAGACCGGCGGAUCGGCUCCCAGAAGCUACCCCCAUGAAUUUGACCUCGGAUCAGGUAGGGAUACCCGCUGAACUUAAGCAUAUCAAUAAGCGGAGGA